GACGAACGCUGGCGGCGUGCCUAAUACAUGCAAGUAGAACGCACAGUUUAUACCGUAGCUUGCUACACCAUAGACUGUGAGUUGCGAACGGGUGAGUAACGCGUAGGUAACCUGCCUGGUAGCGGGGGAUAACUAUUGGAAACGAUAGCUAAUACCGCAUAAUAUUGAUUAUUGCAUGAUAAUUGAUUGAAAGAUGCUAUUGCAUCACUAUCAGAUGGACCUGCGUUGUAUUAGCUAGUAGGUGAGGUAACGGCUCACCUAGGCGACGAUACAUAGCCGACCUGAGAGGGUGAUCGGCCACACUGGGACUGAGACACGGCCCAGACUCCUACGGGAGGCAGCAGUAGGGAAUCUUCGGCAAUGGACGAAAGUCUGACCGAGCAACGCCGCGUGAGUGAAGAAGGUUUUCGGAUCGUAAAGCUCUGUUGUAAGAGAAGAACGGGUGUGAGAGUGGAAAGUUCACACUGUGACGGUAUCUUACCAGAAAGGGACGGCUAACUACGUG
rnacentral:rRNA from 1 species